UACGUAGGGAGCAAGCGUUGUUCGGAUUUACUGGGCGUAAAGGGCGCGUAGGCGGCACCGCAAGUCGACUGUGAAAUCUCCGGGCUUAACUCGGAAAGGUCAGCCGAUACUGCGGGGCUAGAGUGCAGAAGGGGCAACUGGAAUUCUCGGUGUAGCGGUGAAAUGCGUAGAUAUCGAGAGGAACACCUGCGGCGAAGGCGGGUUGCUGGGCUGACACUGACGCUGAUGCGCGAAAGCUAGGGGAGCGAACGGG
rnacentral:rRNA from 1 species